AAACCACUCCAAGUGAUGUGGGGGUUGACGAGAUUCUUGUCGUGGCAUUGCAGUGCAUCAGGAUCUACCGAGCAGUGCGCCACGUGAUGCGGUUCGGCGGCGCGUGGCCAUGCAGCUCACUGCCGCGGACCACUAAUUUUUUGAUUUCGGGCGGUCCCGCUGGAGUUCACCGAUCCUUCUAAUUCUGGAUCGAGUGGGAGGACAAAGGUAAGCCAUCACCCGGCACCACCCUACGCCUCUUUUGUGGCUUGAGAUCCUCUAAGUUGUUGAUCCAAGCUCAUGGUUCUGGUAGGUGACAGCGACCAAGGACGGUGGUGCAACGUGGCUAUGCAGUCCGGCAAGCACGUGUAUGUAGGACGGUGUGGCGGAUGAAUGUACAGUUUUGUUCACUUAUUCAUUUUUGGGGUGGAUAAUUUCAGCCCAGAUUGCUACUAGUUUUUUGUCUAUUCUUGAGCUUCAGGUUGUAGUUCAUGAGCUAGCAGCAUGCAGCGCGCUACUGCGGUCGACAAAAAACGUCAAUUUGUUUCUCGGGAUGUUCAUUUGAAGUUCACUCAUGUUUAUAUUUUCUUCUGGAAAAUCAUUUGCAGUGCGCUCAAUAAGAAAAAGAAGAGAACAUCGAUCUUCAUUCAAGUUUCAUUUUGUUGUUUUGAGAAAUGCAUAGUGAAAAGAGUAGUAAAAAUGGAUGUAGGUUGGUUUAAAAAAGCACUUCGUUUUGGAAAUCAGUAUAUCCACGAAAGUCACAUUGGUUUAAAAUGGAUGUAGAUUGGUUUAAAAAAGCACUUCGUUUUGGAAAUCAGUAUAUCCACGGAAGUCACAUUGUUUUAAAAUGGAUGUAGAUUGGUUUAAAAA
rnacentral:lncRNA from 1 species